rnacentral:rRNA from 1 species
GCCAGACUCCUACGGGAGGCAGCAGUGGGGGAUAUUGCACAAUGGGGGGAACCCUGAUGCAGCGACGCCGCGUGGGUGAAGGAGCGUUUCGGCGCGUAAAGCCCUAUCGGCAGGGAAGAAGGAGGACGGUACCUGACUAAGAAGCCCUGGCUAACUACGUGCCAGCAGCCGCGGUAAUACGUAGGGGGCAAGCGUUAUCCGGAUUUACUGGGUGUAAAGGGGGCGCAGACGGCAGCGCAAGCCAGGAGUGAAAGCCCGGGGCCCAACCCCGGGACUGCUCUUGGAACUGCGCGGCUGGAGUGCAGGAGGGGCAGGCGGAAUUCCUGGUGUAGCGGUGAAAUGCGUAGAUAUCAGGAGGAACACCGGUGGCGAAGGCGGCCUGCUGGACUGCGACUGACGUUGAGGCCCGAAAGCGUGGGGAGCAAACAGGAUUAGAUACCCCAGUAU